AUGUAAAGCCUCUGUUAAUACUUUUCCUGUUAACAACCUAACUAUUCAACUGCUGAAUAAAAACCAUUAGGACAACUAAAGUAACAGAAACUGAGAGAUUUUAGCAAGAAAUAGUCAUUCCAAUAUCAAUGACUACAGAGGAAAUGCAAUUAAUUUUCUUUGCUUAAGUUUUCCAGGUUUGUGUUCUUAAGUAUGAGCCACAGCAUUUAUAACAACCCCAGAAUGUACCAUUUUUAUACAAGAAUUAAAUAAUAGCCCAAAUUAAGAAUUUGGCUCUUAGGAAUUUGAGAACUUUUGCAAAAUGAUAACAUCUUUCAUAAAAAAUAAAUGUUGUAAAACUAUAUAUAUUUAAUAAACCCAUUGCAGUAACCAGCAAAAAUAAAUUUAGCUUUCUGAAA
rnacentral:lncRNA from 1 species